rnacentral:lncRNA from 1 species
AAUCUGAGAUAUAUAUAAAAAAGACAUAGUAAUAAUCAUGAUAACUAAAACAUUCAACAAUUCACACUUCAUUCUGGUACACAAAAAAGUAAAAACAUAAAGAAAAAGAUAAGCACGACAUCCUCAUGUUUGUUAAAUAACUAAAAUAAAAACAACAAUUUUUCAUGAACUAAAUAGCAAAAUCCACAAAGCUUGGGCCGGCUUCAUCAUCUUUUAUAACUUCAAUAACUUGUCCAUUUGUUGCUCUAACAACCUGCCCAUCUGUAGUUCCAACAACAUCAACACUUGGUUGUGGGGGCUAUCUAUCCUGAGUGUCAGUGCGAAAAAAAACAAAAAAAUAUGGUUGAAAUCGGAUUGAUAGAACAUAGAUGCCGCUAAAAAGAUGUAGUUUGCUAGAAAUUAGAUUCAUUGAUAAUACAAAAAACAAUUACAUAUAUGUAGUAAAAAAGAUGUUGUAAAAACAAUGCACUUUGCUAGAAAUCAGUUCCACUUUAUGCAACAAUUAGAUUUCUGUUUUACUAGAAAUCAUAUUUUAGUUACAACCAAAACAGAAAAAAAAAAUGUUGACUUAAUAAGUUUCUACUUUCUACUUUCUAGACAAACAUUUAACAAAUAUGUUACAGCAAAAAAAGAUUCAGUGGCUGCAAUCAAGUUGAAGGCAUGAUAUUGAUUAUAACAAAAUGAAGUGUAAGAAAUCGAGUGACUAAGUUGUCGAUUGUAACCAACAUCACUAAAAAAAGAUACAAAUCCAUCAGUUUAAUAGGUUAACAUCAAAAUUGAGUGUAAUAAAAUAAAAUCAAAAGCAUGUAACAAAUAAGUUACAGGUGAAAAAGAUUCAAUGGUUGUAAUCAAGUUCAAGGCAUGAAAUUGAUUAUAACAAAAUUGAGUGUAAGUAAUCUAGUGAUUAAGAAAUUGAUUAUAACCAGCAUCACUCAAAACAUAUACAACCAAAAAUCAUUCAAUCAAGAAAUCGCUUAUACCAGAAUCGAUUAUACUAGAAAUCGACUAUACAAGAAAUCGAUUAUACUAGAAUCGAUUAUACCAGAAAUCGAUAAUACCAAAAUCGAGGGUAAGAAAAUAAAAUUGAAAACUUACAUGGGCUUAGGAUUUUGGGAUGAAGCUGGAACUUCUUGAUUCCAUGAGCGUUGAAUUGGUGAUGAUAGCAAGGUAGCUUGAAGGUGAAACAUUGAUGUCGUGAUUUUGUGAAGAACUAAGAAUCAAAGACAAAGGGUGGCCGCAUCUUUUAUAAUGAAAUCAAAAUUUUUUAUUCUAGGAAAGGAGAUUAGAGAGAGAGUGAGAUCAGUUAAUGGCUUGAAGAAACGAGGAGUCAAUUCUGAAGCGUCGUCUUG